rnacentral:rRNA from 1 species
UUAGACGGACCCCGCACAAGCGGUGGAUCAUGUUGUUUAAUUCGAUGAUACGCGAAGAACCUUACCAGGUCUUGACAUCCCCUGCAAAGCUAUGGAGACAUAGUGGAGGUUAUCAGGGAGACAGGUGGUGCAUGGUUGUCGUCAGCUCGUGUCGUGAGAUGUUGGGUUAAGUCCCGCAACGAGCGCAACCCCUUAUUGCUAGUUACCAUCAUUGAGUUGGGGACUCUAGCGAGACUGCCAGUGAUAAACUGGAGGAAGGUGGGGAUGACGUCAAAUCAUCAUGCCCCUUAUGACCUGGGCUACAAACGUGAUACAAUGGCUGAAACAAAGGGCGGCGAAGCAGUGAUGUGGAGCGAAACCCAAAAAAGCAGUCUCAGUUCGGAUUGAAGUCUGCAACUCGACUUCAUGAAGUCGGAAUCGCUAGUAAUCGCGGAUCAGAACGCCGCGGUGAAUACGUUCUCGGGGUUU